rnacentral:rRNA from 1 species
CCUACGGGUGGCAGCAGUGGGGAAUAUUGCGCAAUGGGCGAAAGCCUGACGCAGCGACGCCGCGUGAGGGAUGAAGGUCCUCGGAUCGUAAACCUCCGUCAGCAGGGAAGCACGGUCACUGUGCUAAUCACCCGUGAAUUGACGGUACCUGCAAAGGAAGCACCGGCUGACUCCGUGCCAGCAGCCGCGGUAAUACGGGGGGUGCGAGCGUUAAUCGGAAUUACUGGGCGUAAAGCGCUCGUAGGCGGUGUGUCAAGGCAAGGGUGAAAUCCCCGCGCUCAACGUGGGAACUGCCUUUGAAACUGGCGGACUGGAGUGUGUGAGAGGAUAGUGGAAUUCCAGGUGUAGGAGUGAAAUGCGUAGAUAUCUGGAGGAACAUCAGUGGCGAAGGCGGCUAGCUGGAGCAUAACUGACGCUGAGGAGCGAAAGCGUGGGUAGCGAACAGGAUUAGAUACCCGAGUAGUC